rnacentral:rRNA from 1 species
CGUAAGGUCCGAGCGUUGUCCGGAAUCAUUGGGCGUAAAGGGUACGUAGGCGGAUAAGCAAGUUAGAAGUGAAAUCCUAUAGCUCAACUAUAGUAAGCUUUUAAAACUGCUCAUCUUGAGGUAUGGAAGGGAAAGUGGAAUUCCUAGUGUAGCGGUGAAAUGCGCAGAUAUUAGGAGGAAUACCGGUGGCGAAGGCGACUUUCUGGCCAUAAACUGACGCUGAGGUACGAAAGCGUGGUAGCAAACAGGAUU